rnacentral:tRNA from 1 species
AAGGCCUUAGCUUAAAGUAAAGCGUCUGAGUUGCAAUUGGAAGAUGUUGGAUAAAAUUUAGCAGGUCUUA